CAGGCAAAUCAAUAAUUGAAAUUCUGCCAAGAAAUCUAGGGGCAGAAGAAGAUGUAUACUUUAGGUGUACGUGAAUCUUUAAGCCGUUCCUUUCUAGGACAAUUUCUAAGACAAUUUUCCUUUUACCCAGAGGUUUACAAGCUUUGGGUGCCUGCGGCCGGCUCGACGGGUGGCAUCAGCAAGCGCCGGCCGGCCUCGGCACUGCUGCGGGUGGUUAUAUAGUCGGCGGAGCACACUAGUGGGCUUCAACGUCAGCGUACGGUGGCGAGCUAAAUCGUGAGUCCUGCUAGGCUUUUUUUGAUUCAGGUUUUGUUACUGUUUUCCAUUCGGGGUUAUAUGGCGAGCAAACCUAACAUUUGCAGUUGUUUGUUUCAGAAAUUCAUGUCCUGACAUCAAAUUUCGAUACGUAAGGUAAAUCCUGCCAACAAAGCUAUGUUAUGGGCUUACUAGUUCUCUUCAUAUCUCUAUCUUCCUUUUGUGAAGUUGUGUAGCGAUCUUCCUUUUACUAUAUGCAAUUCGAUUUUCUUAGGAAUACUCUCCAUUUUCUUAGGAACACGACGUCGUUGCGAUGCCUCCAGAUGCACCAGCAACAGAACAUGAAGAAUGUCAAUGGCAAGGUGAGCGACAUCUAGCAGAUUGCGGACAGAGGCCACGGAAGGUGACCGGAACCCCAACAUGGCCCUGAAAUCAACCACCAAUGGGCAGGCAGAGACGAGGUGUCUCGCUGACUGCAGCGAGGCAUGGCGGAAUGGGCUACUAUUACACGCUCUAAAAGUGAGGUUUAUAGCAAUUAAAAAGGUGAUUUUAUUCCUGAAUCGUGCUUAACAUUUCUUUAGCAAACAAGCACUAGCAGCCCGUUUUCAGAUGUGCUUCUUGUUGGUUCAUGUAGACAUGCCAAUGAAGCCCUGAUAAAGAGUAGAAAAAAUACAGUUUAUUUGUUUAAUUGUUCUCUUGUGUAGACCAAAAUUAGCGAGUAAAGGUAAUUUGAGUUUGCUUCCAAAUUCUUUCUGCGAGUUUAUCCCAGGAAUAAUGUUUUGUUCCUAUUUGAGUUGCAACAUGUGACUUCUGGAGGCUACUCUUCCAUUUGAUGUUGCUGUUCAACAGCUCUCAAAGGCACAGAGCAAAUCAGUCGGGCUUCUCGAAGAAAACAUAUUUUUGAUAAAUGAUGUGCCAUGCAUCCUUCCGCACACCUAAUCGCCUGCUUAGAACAAAUAAAAUUAGUUGCAUUUGCCUGUAUUGGUGGAGUGUGUAUAGAUGGCAGAAUAGCUCCAGCCUUGCUUUCUACUAACCAGUUUCAUUUUCUUUCAGAAUCAAGUUCCUGCUUUUUUCUCCCUGAUGUGAGUGUAUUGGAGUAUAGGGUUCUCCCUGGAGGGUCUUGUAAUCAGUGAGCUAUCUGAGGCAAUGUAUAGAGUUCCAGUUCUGUUUUUCUUGAGAGCCGACCCUGUAAGCUCUGUUUUCUUAGAGUUGAUAUGUAAAUUCUUCAAUGUUUAAAUAAAGUUCAGCCUCAGGCCCUUAAAGAUAACACUACUCCCCAAAUUAAA
rnacentral:lncRNA from 1 species